rnacentral:rRNA from 1 species
AUGAACGCUGGCGGCGUGCCUAAUACAUGCAAGUCGAACGCUUCACUUCGGUGAAGAGUGGCGAACGGGUGAGUAAUACAUAAGUAACCUGGCAUCUACAGGGGGAUAACUGAUGGAAACGUCAGCUAAGACCGCAUAGGUGUAGAGAUCGCAUGAACUCUAUAUGAAAAGUGCUACGGGACUGGUAGAUGAUGGACUUAUGGCGCAUUAGCUUGUUGGUAGGGUAACGGCCUACCAAGGCGACGAUGCGUAGCCGACCUGAGAGGGUGACCGGCCACACUGGGACUGAGACACGGCCCAGACUCCUACGGGAGGCAGCAGUAGGGAAUUUUCGGCAAUGGGGGAAACCCUGACCGAGCAACGCCGCGUGAAGGAAGAAGUAAUUCGGUAUGUAAACUUCUGUCAUAGAGGAAGAACGGUGGAUAUAGGGAAUGAUAUCCAAGUGACGGUACUCUAUAAGAAAGCCACGGCUAACUACGUG